rnacentral:rRNA from 1 species
UGAGCAAUCUGCCCUUCUCUUCGGAAUAAGCGUUGGAAACGACGUCUAAUGCCGAAUACGACCUCCUUUCGCAUGAUCGGAGGUGGAAAGCUCCGGCGGAGAAGGAUGAGCUCGCGGCCUAUCAGCUUGUUGGUGGGGUGAUGGCCUACCAAGGCGACGACGGGUAGCCGGCCUGAGAGGGCGACCGGCCACACUGGGACUGAGACACGGCCCAGACCUCCGUACGGGAGGNAGCG